CGCGUAGGCGGCUCCAAAAGUCAGGGGUGAAAUCCGGCAGCUUAACUGUCGCAGUGCCUUUGAUACUGUGGAGCUAGAGGGAGGUAGGGGUCUGUGGAACUUCCGGUGGAGCGGUGAAAUGCGUUGAUAUCGGAAGGAACGCCGGUGGCGAAAGCGACGGACUGGAUCUCUUCUGACGCUGAGGCGCGAAAGCCAGGGGAGCAAACG
rnacentral:rRNA from 1 species